GCCGCGGCUGCGCUGCGCCUCCGGCUCGGAAGGGCGGCCUGACGGGCUCGCCUUGUGCCACACACAGAGCAGGACAGGCCCUGCACGGAAUAAGGUACUUGGCCUGAUCCUUUUUCAGCCCCUCUAGUUACAGUUUGAGUCCCCAGAAUCUUGAGGAUGCUGCAUUGCAGUGUCGGUGCUUUCCUUCACUGAGGAUGGAGAUUCAAAUAUACUCUUGUGGCCAUUUUUUGGCAAUUGGACAGCAAUAAAUCUGGAUAUUCAUAUGUCAUACUGUGAAUUCUUAAUAUUUCAGUACAAAGCUGUUCUGUACCUUGCAUAUAGUGUAGCCCACACAAAUGGGCAUGAUUUUUGUUCAGCCCAUGACUUCCCCUAGAGCACACCAGAUUAGAUCGGGACUGGUGUCAUCCACAUUUGCUGCAUACAGAGCUGGCUGCAUUGUACUGGCUUCAUGGAUGGUGGCUUUCCUGGCCGGUCCAGAUGGAUACACCAGAGUUUGUGUUUUCAUUCAGUGUUUAUUUGUUUUUAUCAGUUGCAGUAACAAGUGCAGGUGCCAGUAUAGUCUGAAGCAGGAGGUUUUCCCACAUAGUUGAAGUACCUUCAAGAGUCAAUGGGCAAGUCCAUGGAGGCAAAAUUCAUUACAGAUUACCACACACAUAGGAACUACCUCUGGCUCAGGGAGUUCCUAACUAGAUACUGGGAGAUAUUUCUACUAGUCAGGCCAUUGUUGAAAACCAAUGUAAGAUGACACCUCUGCCUGAGUCUGUGCAGUCAGAUAUUUGCAAUUUAUUGUUAAAGUGUUAUUUUUAAGCUCGAGUAUAAAAUUGUUCAUCAUUGAAUUGAUCUUGACAUUGAGGCUGAGCUACAAAAGUAUGAAUGCAUAGCUGUCUGUAAUCUGACCAUGUCCUUUUUUACAGAGAUAAAAUAUUUCCAAAGUUGUUGAGAUAGGAGACAACUAUCUUAGAAGACACUGUGGUAGAGUACUUAAAUUGAACUGAAAGGCACACUUUAAGACCAUUUUUAGUACAAGCAUUGCGACCAGGGCCUGCCGUUUUGCUUUGCCUGCUUCUGCUUCCCUUGCCACGCGGGAGCUCAGAGCCAGCGCGUGUGGUGCCAAAACCCAGGACCGAGAGAGCCUCCCGCCGGAGCCCCUUGCCCUCUGCGGCUGCUCCUGUGUGUUAGUUAGGCUCCGAGACUCCCAUUCACCGCUGUCUCUCCACUGCAAGCCUGCUCAGCUUCUCCCUACUUCCCAGCCGUUUGAGGGUCCAGAGCCCAUGUGUCGGGUGCCAUGGGGACUGGGAGAGGGUCAUAUUUUCUAUUUAAGGGAGGCUCCCGCCUUCCUAGGCAGACACCCAUCUUUUAAACCAGGACUUGCUUAAAACAUUUUCACGAAGAAAAACAUAAUUAGCUUUGGUGUGAUUUUGUUUUCUGAAAUACAUGAUUUGAUAUGUAUCACUUGAUGCCAACAUAUUUGCUACCCAGGGAAAACCAGUGAUUGUUACCCUAUCUCAUUUGUUUUCCCUUGACACAUUUUCAAAUAAGCAUUACCUUUAAAAUCAAAUAAGUCUUACUAACUUUGUUGUUGGUUAAUUUAAUGCAUUCUUUAACACAUUUGAAUAGUGUGCUGUUUUUAAAAUUCUGCAGGUAGGUUAUCAGUGCAUUGUGUAAAAAUUAAUAGAGUACUUUUCCACUGCUAUCUACCAUCUCUAUUUUCAUGUAAAAAAUUUAUUGUGAAACCUUCACUAAUUGUUUACAAAUAUUGCUGCAAAACACAAUAAUGUCUUUUUAAUUGUAACAUUAGAGAAGCACCUUAAGGGAAUGUGCCUCAAUGUUUCCAUGCACUUGAAGAUGGCAAUAUUUGAAAUAAUUCCCUCUAAAACUCUAGCUGAAACUGUUUUCAGAUUAAAGGUUUUUGCAAUAAACUUCUCAAGAUCAAA